rnacentral:lncRNA from 1 species
CUAAACCAAGUCGGUUAUCUUAAUAUGUAUUUCUCAUUUUAUUUGUUGAAGAGAGCAAAAUAGAGAGUAUAAAGAGGGACAAAAGUUGCUACAGAGAGAACAACCAAGCUGAGCUAACAUCUAAAAAAGAAUACUAUAGAAAUGCUUUAAGUGUAGCCAAAGAAGCUGAAGCAUUAGCAGAAUCACGGGCAAAUGAUGAAGCCAUAGUUGAACUAGAAAACCGCAUAAAGGAAUAUGAAGAACGUGAAGCUAUGUUAGUUUAUUGUGCAAGUAUAUGGAUUUGGCUUGUGUUGUUUUUGGAUUAAAAAUGUGUAGUAAAGUUGGCCUCUUUUGGUUAACAAAAAUGGUCCGAACAUUCUUA